UCCCUGGUGGUCCGAAGGCUAAGACUCUGCACUCCCAAUGCAAGGGUCCCAGGUUCAAUCCCUGGUUGGAGAA
rnacentral:tRNA from 1 species